AGCCUUAAGGUACUUAUUUAAGGUUAAACCUGCCCAAUGUAAAUUUUAAUAAAUGGCCGCGGUACUUUGACCGUGCUAAGGUAGCGCAAUCAAUUGGCUUUUAAUUGAAGUCAGGUAUGAAUGGAAUCACGGGGUUAAGCUGUCUCUUAAUUAUUUUAUUGAAAUUACUAUAUAGGUGAAAAAGCCUAUAAACAGAAAAAGGACGAGAAGACCCUUAGAGUUUAUCUAAAAUUGAAAAUAAUUUUCAAAACAGUUUUGUUGGGGCAACAGGGGAGCAAUUUUAAUAAUCUCCCUAUAAAAUAAAUCGAUUAUAUUAGAUGUGAAAAAACUACCUUAGGGAUAACAGCAUAAUUUUAUAAAUAAGUUUGUGACCUCGAUGUUGGACUAGGAAACUAGUAGGCUAGCCGCCUUCUAGGUAAGUUCUGUUCGAACUGAUUAUUCCU
rnacentral:rRNA from 1 species